rnacentral:rRNA from 1 species
AGUGAACGCUGGCGGUAGGCCUAACACAUGCAAGUCGAACGGCAGCACAGUAAGAGCUUGCUCUUACGGGUGGCGAGUGGCGGACGGGUGAGGAAUACAUCGGAAUCUACUUUUUCGUGGGGGAUAACGUAGGGAAACUUACGCUAAUACCGCAUACGACUACGGGUGAAAGCAGGGGAUCUUCGGACCUUGCGCGAUUAAAUGAGCCGAUGUCGGAUUAGCUAGUUGGCGGGGUAAAGGCCCACCAAGGCGACGAUCCGUAGCUGGUCUGAGAGGAUGAUCAGCCACACUGGAACUGAGACACGGUCCAGACUCCUACGGGAGGCAGCAGUGGGGAAUAUUGGACAAUGGGCGCAAGCCUGAUCCAGCCAUACCGCGUGGGUGAAGAAGGCCUUCGGGUUGUAAAGCCCUUUUGUUGGGAAAGAAAAGCAGCAGGUUAAUACCCCGCUGUUCUGACGGUACCCAAAGAAUAAGCACCGGCUAACUUCGUG